UACGUAGGGUGCGAGCGUUGUCCGGAAUUAUUGGGCGUAAAGGGCUCGUAGGCGGUCUGUCACGUCAGGAGUGAAAACUCGGGGCUCAACCCCGAGCCUGCUUCUGAUACGGGCAGACUGGAGGUAUGCAGGGGAGAACGGAAUUCCUGGUGUAGCGGUGAAAUGCGCAGAUAUCAGGAGGAACACCGGUGGCGAAGGCGGUUCUCUGGGCCUUACCCGACGCUGAGGAGCGAAAGCGUGGGGAGCGAACAGG
rnacentral:rRNA from 1 species